rnacentral:rRNA from 1 species
UACGUAGGGGGCGAGCGUUGUCCGGAUUUAUUGGGCGUAAAGAGCUCGUAGGUGGUUUGGUAAGUCGGAUGUGAAAUCUCCAGGCUCAACCUGGAGGGGUCAUUCGAGACUGCCAUGACUAGAGUUCGGUAGAGGAGUACGGAAUUCCUGGUGGAGCGGUGAAAUGCGCAGAUAUCAGGAGGAACACCCGUAGCGAAGGCGGUACUCUGGGCCGAUACUGACACUGAGGAGCGAAAGCGUGGGGAGCGAACAGGAUUAGAUACCCUGGUAGUCCACGCCGUAAACGUUGGGCACUAGGUGUGGGGUUCUAUCGACGGAUUCCGUGCCGUAGCUAACGCAUUAAGUGCCCCGCCUGGGGAGUACGGCCGCAAGGCUAAA